UCAUAAAUAUUUCUAUAAUAUAAUGAUUUUUUUCUAGUGUCUUUGUCCAGCGCUGUCUUUGGCUUAAUUGCGUAAGGCAGGUGGCAGUUGCUGUUGCCGAUGUUGCUGUUGGUGGAAGAGAAUAAGACACGGUCACAGACAGGCCACUUUAAAGUUGUUCCCGUUGGUGAUUAGUGACGGGUCUCCGUCUCCGGCUCCUGCUCCUACUCCAACUCCAACUCCAACUCCAGCUACAGUGCCCUCCACAUCCAGUAGACCACAGUCCGGCCUCAGUACGAGUGCUUUCCAUUAUGGCCAAGUGUCAAAUUAAGUGCUCACAUGAUUAAUAUUUGUGGCCGGCAGGCAUUGUUCCAUUGCAUUCGGCCAAUUCCAGUUCGGCUCCUGUUGUGGGUCCGUGCAAUUUUCUCGCUGAUUAACCGUGUCGCUUGGCUAUUAACUUUUAAUUGUGAGCCCCGUACCCAAACGCAUCAGCAUCAGUCUAUCCCUUGAGGUAUUUUCUAGCCAUAAAGUCAAUUGAUGUAUUUGGCAUUGCCCGAUGUUUUACGAUGUCCUGGAACGGAUCCGCGACAAUGAGCAGCGGAAAUUGGCAGACAUUGCUUCUAGCCCCAGUGAUGUCAUUUAAUUGUGACAGCGAUGACCCACUUUCACUGCGGAGGGAAUGUGAACAGCUGUCAGGCAUACGGUGAAAUAUUGGACAUCCCUCGGGACAUGACCAGAACCGAUAAUCCACGAGACAGGGUGCAGGAGGCGGAGGCCACAGACUCCUCCCAUCACUCAUCCAACUGAAGCCGAAACAAAAGACAAAAGGCGGCCACCGGCAAACAUGGAGAACUCUCGUACUUCCGAUUUCGCAGAUUGCAAUAAUGAGACAAGAGAUCGCCCACACACAAAGCCUCAAAGACAAAAGACAGAAAGCCCCUUGAAACAAAUAUUUUCAAUUUAUAAUCUAAAUUUCAGAUAUAAAAUACGAACA
rnacentral:misc_RNA from 1 species